AGGGAAACAAAGGCAAAUGAUCAUGAUACAUGACUUAGAAAACCAGGUGAUUUGUUAAAAAGGAAUAAUAGCUGAGUCAUAGGCGUCCAAGAAGAUGAAGAGAGAGAAAAAAGGGCAGAAGUUUUGUGUGCACAAAUUAUAAGAAAAAACUUUCCUAAUCUGGGGAAUGACACAGACAUAAAAAUCCAAGGAGCACAGGGAACUCCCAAUAGAUUCAACAAAAGCUGACCAUCACCAAGGCAUAUCAUAGUCAAAUUCA